GACGAACGCUGGCGGCGUGCUUAACACAUGCAAGUCGAACGGAAAGGCCCUGCUUUUGUGGGGUGCUCGAGUGGCGAACGGGUGAGUAACACGUGAGUAACCUGCCCUUGACUUUGGGAUAACUUCAGGAAACUGGGGCUAAUACCGGAUAGGAGCUCCUGCUGCAUGGUGGGGGUUGGAAAGUUUCGGCGGUUGGGGAUGGACUCGCGGCUUAUCAGCUUGUUGGUGGGGUAGUGGCUUACCAAGGCUUUGACGGGUAGCCGGCCUGAGAGGGUGACCGGCCACAUUGGGACUGAGAGACGGCCCAGACUCCUACGGGAGGCAGCAGUGGGGAAUAUUGCACAAUGGGCGGAAGCCUGAUGCAGCAACGCCGCGUGCGGGAUGACGGCCUUCGGGUUGUAAACCGCUUUCGCCUGUGACGAAGCGUGAGUGACGGUAAUGGGUAAAGAAGCAACGGCUAACUACGUG
rnacentral:rRNA from 1 species